rnacentral:lncRNA from 1 species
AUAUUUAUUAUCUAAACCAUCUAAAACAAGGUAAAGUUUACAACUCAAAUAUAUUACAAGUAGGAAGUCUAAAUCUAGUAGAACACAUAAUUGCCUAAAAUUUGCCCCGUCAAUCUAUAAAAAGACAAUCAGCUAAUAGACUAUCAAAGAAACAGAAAUCUAAAUAAAAAUAACAUAUAUUACAAGUUACCGAUUAUCUAGCUAGGGCAAAUUUGUAAGAAAAAAAAACGUAUCUAAUGUCUGGAGAAGAUGAAGAAUGGAAGCAACAAAUCCCACCGGGUUUCAGGUUUUGUCCUUCUGAUGAAGAGAUACUACAAUAUUAUCUUCUUCGUCAUGUCACCGGAAACUAUAUCCUGCCUGGAAUAAUACCUCAAGUUGAUCUCUACGAAUGUAACCCUGAUCACCUUCCAGGUAUCAUAACUUGAGCUUCUUCCUCAUGCAUGACUUAUAUAACUUGAGCUUCUUCCUUAUGCAUGACUUAUAUAUGUAGAGUCCGGAGUCGAUAAUUUUUUCUUUCAAAAAACAUAAACGGUAUAUCAAAAAAAAAUUAAACCAAAAGGGGCAAAAUCGCUCUUAAGAGAGCGAUAUCUUAGUACAAAAUUGACUCCGUUUAUGCCGUUAAAAAAAAUUAAAAUCGCUGCCCCAACAGCGAUUUCGUCAAAAAAAAUUGUUUUUUAAAUAACAGCGAUUUUCUUAAAUUUUUUAUUUUUUAAAAUAUGAACAUGCAGCGAUUUUCCUCAAACUUUUUUUUAAAAUUUACUACUUGAACAAUAGGCAGUUGAUACACAAUUUUUUUGAGGAUUUUUUUUUUGAACAAUAGGCCAAAGCAGCGAUAAUUAAAAAAAUUUUAAAAAUUGAGGAAAAUCGCUGCUGAGCAACAAUUUUAGGUUUUUUUUUUUUUUU